CAGCAGCCGCGGUAAUACGUAGGGUGCAAGCGUUAAUCGGAAUUACUGGGCGUAAAGCGUGCGCAGGCGGUUUUGUAAGACAGAGGUGAAAUCCCCGGGCUCAACCUGGGAACUGCCUUUGUGACUGCAAGGCUAGAGUACGGCAGAGGGGGAUGGAAUUCCGCGUGUAGCAGUGAAAUGCGUAGAUAUGCGGAGGAACACCGAUGGCGAAGGCAAUCCCCUGUGCCUGUACUGACGCUCAUGCACGAAAGCGUGGGGAGCAAACAGGAUUAGAUACCCGAGUAGUCCCUGUCUCUUAUAC
rnacentral:rRNA from 1 species